AUUGAACGCUGGCGGCAUGCCUUACACAUGCAAGUCGAACGGUAACGCGGGGCAACCUGGCGACGAGUGGCGAACGGGUGAGUAACGCAUCGGAACGUGCCCAGUAGUGGGGGAUAGCCCGGCGAAAGCCGGAUUAAUACCGCAUACGACCUACGGGUGAAAGGGGGGGAUCGCAAGACCUCUCGCUAUUGGAGCGGCCGAUGUCAGAUUAGGUAGUUGGUGGGGUAAAGGCCCACCAAGCCUUCGAUCUGUAGCUGGUCUGAGAGGACGACCAGCCACACUGGGACUGAGACACGGCCCAGACUCCUACGGGAGGCAGCAGUGGGGAAUUUUGGACAAUGGGCGCAAGCCUGAUCCAGCCAUGCCGCGUGCGGGAAGAAGGCCUUCGGGUUGUAAACCGCUUUUGUCAGGGAAGAAACGCUCUGGGCUAAUACCCUGGGGUAAUGACGGUACCUGAAGAAUAAGCCCCGGCUAACUUCGUGCCAGCAGCCGCCGUAA
rnacentral:rRNA from 1 species